UACGUAGGGGCCGAGCGUUGUCCGGAGUUCUUGGGCGUAAAGCGCGCGCAGGCGGCUUGACGCGCCCGACGUGAAAGCCCCCGGCUUAACCGGGGAGGGUCGUCGGGUACGGUCAGGCUUGAGGGCGGGAGAGGGUGGUGGAAUUCCCGGUGUAGUGGUGAAAUGCGUAGAGAUCGGGAGGAACACCUGUGGCGAAGGCGACUACCUGGCCUGUUCUUGACGCUGAGGCGCGAAAGCUAGGGGAGCAAACGGG
rnacentral:rRNA from 1 species